rnacentral:snoRNA from 1 species
AACUCUACACAUUCAGGGAUUAUCUCUUUAGUUCAUUACUAGAGAAGUUUAUCUGAUCAUGUAGAGAGCCUGAAACCACAAGGAGGAGCUAGGGCAUCCUCGCCUGAGUGGGAAGCUGGUUCUAGGUGUUGCUUUUGCAACUGCAUUUGCAUUUUACCAAGAUGAUCUGAUCAUUCUUCUUGUUCUUUGGAAGAGAAAGAGGGAGAGGAUGCAGUCUAGUCUGAGUGG